rnacentral:rRNA from 1 species
AACGCUAGCUACAGGCUUAACACAUGCAAGUCGAGGGGUAGCACGGAGGAAGCUUGCUUCCUUGGGUGACGACCGGCGCACGGGUGAGUAACGCGUAUCCGACCUACCCAUAACUCGGGCACAGCCGCUCGAAAGAGUGAUUGAUUCCCGAUAUGUCUUUAGAGUAGAUUUAAAGAUGAAAGAUUUAUCGGUUAUGGAUGGGGAUGCGUAAGAUUAGGUAGUAGGCGGGGUAACGGCCCACCUAGCCGACGAUCUUUAGGGGUUCUGAGAGGAAGGUCCCCCACACUGGUACUGAGACACGGACCAGACUCCUACGGGAGGCAGCAGUGAGGAAUAUUGGUCAAUGGGCGGAAGCCUGAACCAGCCAAGUAGCGUGAAGGAUUACAGCCCUACGGGUUUUAAACUUCUUUUAUAUAAGAGUAAUGUGCACUACGUGUAGUGUAUUGCAAGUAUUAUAUGAAUAAGCAUCGGCUAACUCCGUGCCAGCAGCCGCGGUAAUACGGAGGAUGCGAGCGUUAUCCGGAUUUAUUGGGUUUAAAGGGAGCGUAGGCGGGUUAUUAAGUCAGUCGUCAAAGCCUGUGGCUCAACCACAGCCCGCGAUUGAUACUGGUAACCUUGAGUGCGGAUGAGGUGGAUGGAAUUCGUGGUGUAGCGGUGAAAUGCUUAGAUAUCACGAAGAACUCCGAUUG